UCCCAAGGCUAAAUACACCAGACGACCGAUAGCGUAACAGUACAGUGAUGGAAAGGUGAAAAGAACCCCGGCGAGGGGAGUGAAAUAGAAUCUGAAACCAUAUGCUUACAACCGGUCAGAGUCCCGCAAGGGAUAAUGGCGUGCCUUUUGGAGAAUGAGCCGGCGAGUUUAUGUCUGUGGCAAGCUUAAGGGAGAGACACCCGGAGGCGAAGCGAAAGCGAGUCUGAAGAGGGCGAUGAGUCGCAGGGAUAAGACGCGAAACCUGGUGAGCUACGCAUGGGCAGGGUGAAAGUGUCGUAACAGACACCGGAGGCCCGAACUCACCACUGUUGCAAAAGUGGGGGAUGACCUGUGUGUAGGGGUGAUAUGCCAAACGAACUGGGAGAUAGCUCGUUCUCCCCGAAAUAGCUUUAGGGCUAGCGUCGCGGGAAGACUUGCAGGAGGUAAAGCGCUGGAUGGGCUAGGGGGCGUCAAGCUUACUGAACCCAACCAAACUGGGAAUGCCUGCAAGGAGUACGCGGCAGUCGGACGGUGGGUGAUGAGAUUCAUCGUCGAGAGGGAAAGAACCCAGACCUACAGCUAAGGUCCUGAAGUGCUGGUUAAGUGGGAAACGAUGUGAUCGUGUCGAGACAGCUAGGAGGUUGGCUUAGAAGCAGCCACCCUUGAAAGAGUGCGUAACAGCUCACUAGUCGAACGCGAUUGCGCGGAUAAUGUAACGGGGCUCAAACCAGCCACCGAAGCUUGGGAUGGUCGAAAGACUAUGGUAGGGGAGCGUUCUGCAGGCGGAGAAGGCAUACUGGAAAGUAUGUUGGAGCGUGCAGGAGUGAGAAUGCCGGCAUGAGUAGCGCAAAACAUGUGAGAACCAUGUUCGCCGAAUAUCUAAGGUUUCCGACGGAAGGUCAGUCCGCGUCGGGUUAGUCGGGCCUAAGCCGAGGCCGAGAGGCGUAGGUGAUGGACAACCGGUUAAUAUUCCGGUACCGGUGUGGGGAGAGAUGUAGAACGUCUUGGGGAAGGUGAGCCGCUGAGUGGAUUGCGGUAGCAAGCGGUUAAUGACCGCGAAGCCGGAGGCGCAAGCCCGGAAGUCACUGACACCUGGGAUCAAGAAAAGACUACAUCUCGUUGAAACACAUCGCCCGUACCACAAACCGACACAGGUAGAUAGGUUGAGAAUACCAAGGCGAACGGGAGAACCCUUGUUAAGGAACUAGGCAAAAAGGUCCCGUAACUUCGGGAGAAGGGACGCCACCGCAAGGUGGCCGCAGCAAAGAGGCUCUACCGACUGUUUACCAAAAACACAGGUCUCUGCAAACGCGAAAGCGGACGUAUAGGGGCUGACACCUGCCCAGUGCCGGAAGGUUAAGAGGAGAGGUUAGGGGAAACCCGAAGCUUCGAAUUGAAGCCCCGGUGAACGGCGGCCGUAACUAUAACGGUCCUAAGGUAGCGAAAUUCCUUGUCGGGUAAGUUCCGACCC
rnacentral:rRNA from 1 species